rnacentral:rRNA from 1 species
AGAGUUUGAUCCUGGCUCAGGAUGAACGCUGGCGGCGUGCCUAACACAUGCAAGUCGAGCGAAGCGCAUGGAUACGAUUCUUCGGAUGAAGAUUCAUGUGACUGAGCGGCGGACGGGUGAGUAACGCGUGGGCAACCUGCCUUACACAGGGGGAUAACAGUUAGAAAUGACUGCUAAUACCGCAUAAGACCCCGGGACCGCAUGGUUCCGAGGUAAAAACUCCGGUGGUGUAAGAUGGGCCCGCGUCUGAUUAGGUAGUUGGCGGGGUAACGGCCCACCAAGCCGACGAUCAGUAGCCGACCUGAGAGGGUGACCGGCCACAUUGGGACUGAGACACGGCCCAGACUCCUACGGGAGGCAGCAGUGGGGAAUAUUGCACAAUGGGGGAAACCCUGAUGCAGCGACGCCGCGUGAGCGAUGAAGUAUUUCGGUAUGUAAAGCUCUAUCAGCAGGGAAGAAAAUGACGGUACCUGACUAAGAAGCCCCGGCUAACUACGUGCCAGCAGCCGCGGU